CCAACCCAAAUGAGGCAAAGCAAUGAGGGUGUAUGGAUCCAACAAUGCGAAUGGUUGAACGUUUGGGCCCAAGCUCUAAUGGCCCAAAGCUGGAUCCAGUGCCCAGCAAACCAGGGCAAACUUCCAUCCCUGAAUACGCGCCGCUUCAUCAUUUGAAAGCUUCAGCAGAAACAUGAACAAACGCCGUCUUGCUUACUCUCACCAAAAUCCCUACGUUCACCAUGAGACGAAACCACACCGAUCCAAGAUUUUUAAAGCUCCAUCAAUGCCACUACAACCUCGUUCAUCUCGGUUUCAGAAUCUUUUUCAAUGAUUUGGAAAAACGUGAUGUUCGAUUCACAUUUCUAUGGUGGCUCGAGAAAGACGCAAGAACAUCACGGAUCACACUACACAGAUGAAUGGAGAAUGAGACGAAAGAAACUUACUGUGUAGGAGUUCCGACGCAGAGAUUCUUCGAAGCCGGUGUCGACGGAAAAUGCUCUCAGUUUCCCCUUCUUCAGGCCCAUGGAAAUCAAAGUUAUGCCAUGCCAUGGAAUGCAAUAGCUUUCAAAGAAACUUGGCCAUGACUUGGUUGAAAUAUGGAUGUUCCAUGAGUUGCUUGGACUUGAAGAAAAUAGGCCAUGAAUUAGGAGAUUAGAAGUCAAAAUAUGCUAUGUUAAGUUGUAAUUUUUCUUUUGAUUUAAUCUUUGUAAUAUGCAAUGUUAGGCCAUAGAUUUAUGUUCAUGAAUAUUUGACAAGUGAAUGAAAAGAAAUGGAAAAUGGGAUAGUUCAUGGAAAUGUAUGGAACUUGAAUAUUUGGAAAUUUGAAUGAUGGUUUAAUGGUUGAAUGUUUCAAAUUAGAA